ensembl:lncRNA
GUAAGAGUUUCCCUUUCUACCCCCGAACUACUACGUGCGUAUUUUCCACGGAUACUAAACUAAAACGAGCGAGAAAGCUAAAUCAAAGUGUUUCGGGGGAAAUGUAGUGAGUUUGAUGCUGAACGAUCUCCCGAGACCCGUCUAGAAGGACACGAAACGAACACACGCCGGAUGAAAGGCGACGAAUCUCGGCUGUAGUUCCACACCGCGGCGCGCCGACGCGCCGUCACGGAGAACCUGGCUCUUGUCUCGUCUCCUGCAAAAACGCAAAACGGUCGGGAUUGGGCUUUCCUAAAACUUUAAUAAGACACCUGUGCCAACGCACCAGAGAACGGCUCAGACACAACAACCGCUCGCCGCGCCUUUCAGUUUGCAAACUGCGUUAGCGUUGAAACUUUUUCUGUGCACUUUUUUCCCUCUCUCUCUCCAUCAGAGAUGAUGCACCAUCCAAAUGAUGACAGAUUAGCAUACGAUCAUUCAUGGAAAGCCGUCUCCCUGGCCUGCUAACGCGCUAUAUCACAAGUCCUCUUCUCUGUGGUCCCGUGGCCAGGAACACGACUGUGAAUGGAGUGUGCCAAUGAAGAAGUUUAGCUGAUUGAAAAGUCAAAUUAAAGUAGAAUACUAAAAGCUGUCAGAGACGUCGUUUCUCCCGCUGGGCGUCCAUAACAACAAAGUCCUUGAAGGAGCGGUUGGCUUACAGCUGCGGGCCAAGCUGCCGGGCUUUGGGUGUGCUCCAAAAACAAGCAUUAAAAGGAAUUGGCUCAACCAGUGACCAAUUAACUCAUCCAACAAAUUGCCAGGCACUUGGGGUUGUUGUUCAACCGUGUUGUUUUUAAUGUCAAUCCAACGGCCUGUUUAUAUACUAAGAGCAGGCGUAGCAUGUCGUCGCUAAAAACCGCACGCAGAAAUAUGCUACGCAGAACGUGUGCAGUCUUGUCAUGCGUCGAUAAUGUUAUGCGACGGCCGAUCCAAGUUUUCCUAAUGCAUGGAAAUACCUGGUGGAGGACUCGUAGUAAACGCAUCGUAUGCUACCCUUGUUGUCGGGGAGAAAGUUGGCUUAG